AGUCGAGCGAGCAGAAUUAACAGAAUCACUUCGGUGAGGACGUUUAGCAUUAGGGCUAGGGAUGGGUGAGUAACACGUGGGUAACCUGCCCUUAAGUCUGGGAUACCACUUGGAAACAGGUGCUAAUACCGGAUGAGAUCAAGUUUUGCAUGAAGCUUGAUUAAAAGGCGGCGAAAGCUGUCGCUAAAGGAUGGACCCGCGGUGCAUUAGCUAGUUGGUAAGGUAACGGCUUACCAAGGCGAUGAUGCAUAGCCGAGUUGAGAGACUGACCGGCCACAUUGGGACUGAGACACGGCCCAAACUCCUACGGGAGGCAGCAGUAGGGAAUCUUCCACAAUGGGCGAAAGCCUGAUGGAGCAACGCCGCGUGAGUGAAGAAGGUUUUCGGAUCGUAAAGCUCUGUUGUUGGUGAAGAAGGAUAGGGGUAGUAACUGGCCUUUAUUUGACGGUAAUCAACCAGAAAGUCACGGCUAACUACGUGCCAGCAGCCGCGGUAAUACGUAGGUGGCAAGCGUUGUCCGGAUUUAUUGGGCGUAAAGCGAGCGCAGGCGGAAAGAUAAGUCUGAUGUGAAAGCCCUCGGCUCAACCGAGGAAUUGCAUCGGAAACUGUAUUUCUUGAGUGCAGAAGAGGAGAGUGGAACUCCAUGUGUAGCGGUGGAAUGCGUAGAUAUAUGGAAGAACACCAGUGGCGAAGCGGCUCUCUGGUCUGUAACUGACGCUGAGCUCGAAAGCAUGGGUAGCGAACAGGAUUAGAUACCCUGGUAGUCCAUGCCGUAAACGAUGAGUGCUAGUGUGGGAGGUUUCCGCCUCCCAGUGCUGCAGCUA
rnacentral:rRNA from 1 species